AAAUGACGUAUUAACUUGUUAACUUGUUAAUACACAAGCCCCAUAAGUUCAUAAAAAUUUAAAUUAAAUUCAAUAAUUUUAGUCUUCUAGAACACACGUGUGAAGUGAUGGCCCGCCAAUCUCUUUUCCUACCAGGAAAAAAAUAUCACUUUCCGAGAAAAAAAGGAAAUAAGAGCACUUCCUAAACCCCUUCAAACACUAUAUAUAAAACUCCAGCACAGGUCAGAACAGAACAAACUAUGCUCUUUCCCUACACAGGACAGCACAGCAGAAAAACCUACCCAGAGAAAACGAACCUACACAGCUCUACUCAAUCACGUAAAACAAAAUUAUGCAGGAAGCCAUAGACGAUAAUUAUUUGUGCCCUAGCUUUAGUAGCUUCGGAUACUUGGCUGAAAUUGCCGCUAAAAUAUCCGAUGAAUUUCAGGAGACAGCGGAGGAGAACGCUAGCGAUUGCUUCGACGGAGAUAACAGCGGGGAAUUAGAUUUUGAAUUCUCAACCAUGGAACUCAUCUACGGCGGUCACACUGAAUUUCAGUCAAUUUUCCCUGUUUUCAACCGCGAUCUAUUAUUAAACGAUAACGAUGAAUCAUCGUCGUCGCCGGACGCCGUUGAUAGCGAAAUUCGAAAUCCGUUGAAGAGCUUUUUCCUGGAAGAAUUGGAAUCGACGACAACGUCGGCGUCGGAGGCGUCAUCAGAUGUGGAUGAAUUGGAGAUUUUGCCGCCGGGAACUUAUUGUGUGUGGAAGCCGAAGAUAAGCGAGCCGUCACCGGGAAAAUGUAAGAAGAGUAAAUCAACUGGAUCGGCGCCAAAGCGAUGGCCGAAGAUUCGAGAUUUGUUACGGCGGAGUAAUAGCGACGGCAAGGACACGAGUUUUGUGUUUCUCACACCGAAAAAGUCAAUAAAAAGCGAAACAGCGAAUUUAGGUGAGAUCCUAAAGGCGGCCGGAAAGUCGAAGCAGCUGAAAGGAAGCAGUACCGGCAGAGAGUCGCCGGUGGAGGCUUAUCUACGAAAUAAAGCGGCAAACCAAGUUGAUAAGAACAGAAGAAAAUCGUAUUUACCGUAUAGGCCAGACCUAAUAGGAUUUUUUGCCAGCGUUAAUGGUUUGACUAAUGGUUUGAAUAGAAGUUAUCGGCCAUUCUAACACCAUGCAGAUGUCAAUGGAAGCCAAAAAAAAAAAAAACCUGAGUUAUUUUUUUUAUAUAUUUUUUUGUUUCGUAAUAAAUGAGCUACUUCUUUUUAGUCUGAUCUAAAAUUAAUAAUAAAUUUUUAAAUUUAAAAAUAAUUUAACUUAAUUUUUUUUAUUUUUUUUUUGUUCUUAAUGAGAAAUUUUUAUAGCCACAUAAAUAAUACGAUCUUAAAAAUUUUUUACCUCUUAAACUUUUAAAAAUAUAAAUUUUAAAAAUUUUUCUUUUUUCUUAAACUCCCAGCUGAAUCAAACUAGCUUAAAACUACGAAUGGGUUGUGAAGGAAGAGUUGUACCUUACCAUCAUAAAAAGAACCAAGCAAAUAGCUCAAAUCAUCCAUUAAUUUCAAGUUUUUCCAGUGUGAUUUUUUCACCAACCAUCUCAAAAUAUAUGUCACUUAGAUUACUUCCCAAUUUUUAAAUUAAAGAUUGACUAAUAUUUUAGAAUGUUUCUUUAGUAACAUUUCCCUGAGAGAGGUUACUACAAAUUAAGUGCAAAGUUUGCUUGUCUUUGAUCUUUCGGAUUAUAGAUUAUACACGAAUUUUUUAAUACUUUAUUCCUUACGAACUUACAUGGCAAAGAGAGCAGCGAAUGCAUCAAACCUGACAGAGAGGGAAGUAGACUCUUUUAAAUGGAAAAAAAAUGAAAUGAAAAAACUUAAGCAAGUGUUGUCUAACGAACGGCGAAUUGCUAUUAUACCAUUCAUUUCUAGCCGUCAGGCCCUACCUGUGUUUACUAAAAUUGAAAGGUAAUAGUGAACUCUCUGUCAUUAACUUGCACGUCAAUUGAUUUUGUGGUUCUUUAUAAAUAUGCUUUUAAUUUUACAACCUUAUUUUUUUUACACAUAAAAGAUUUAGUUUACGUAGGGGAUCUGUUUUUUUAUCUAUAAGACACUUAAAAAUAUCAUUUUCUUAAUUUUAAAAUUAUAAAGGUGUAUGAUGUAUACAUAUAACACCAUACCGUGUCUUAUUUAGGACGAAUAGUAAUAAAUAUUGGUAUCCUAUCUACUAGUCUCUAAAGCUAUAUUUGGCUGUUUGUCAGACAACAAAGCAAUAAGCAUAGAUAAGGCAAGACGAGCUUACAAGAGUAGCUCUAACACAAAGAAGAACCCAACUAAGUGCACCAUUUUAAUAUAGUAUGAAACUUAUAUAUAUGGCUAUAUAAUGUAACAAGAAAACAAAUCUUCUCCAAUUGACCAACUCAGUAAAUUAGUUAAAAUAAACUAUAGUUCAUUACUGUGAGUAUAAAAUAUUUGGAUGGCGACAAUAUUACGUUGAUGGGCUCUGAUUCUGUUUAUUCUACUGUUUAGUCUUAGUACUUUAGUUUUAUAAACAAUAUGCCACCCUGUUUUUUGCUUUAUCCAGAAUGAUCGGUGUGGAUCCGUAUCUUCAGAAUUCUUACAGUAAAAUGAAUCCUAGAAGCCAACAGAUUGAAGAAACCUAUCUUCUUUCCUGGCAUGUGGCAUUAUUUGUGUGUGCAUUAUUUUUUAAAAAAGAAUUUCUGUUAGAUCCAAUUUGAACACACAUAUCAAGAGCUUAAGGCAUCAGAUAGUUCUUUAUUUAUUUAUUAUCGAAGAUACGAAAAGGAAAAAGAGGGGGGAAACAGAAAAUUAAGCUUACAGGAUCAAAUUAUGAGGGACUCUUGAGAUUUGAAUUGUAUUUUGUUAGGAUAAACGUUUUAACUAAGCGUUCGGACAUAAAAUUAUAAUUUUUGAAGAAAAAAAUAGUAUUUGGAGUUUAAGUUGAAAAAUAAUAUCUAAAAUUUGAAAUUAUAUUUAGAUAUGUAUUUCAUUUGAAAAGAUAUUAUAUUUUUGUGAGUGGGGAAAAAAGAAAAGUGGUCAAACCACUUUUUGAUUUUUGAAAAACUCAUUUUAAUUCUUUUUUAAAAACGUUCAAAAGUUUUAAAGACAAACACAUUUUUGAAUCUCUUCUUCUUCUUUCUUCAAUCCUAAUUCUAUUUUUCCACGGAGUUUCUUCUUCGAGCUUAUUGUUUUUUUUUUGGUAAUUCUUCGAGCUUAUUGUUCUUUGUUGAGAAAGAACAAAAAAACCAUUCAGGAAGAACUUGGUCGUGAUUUGUCGAUAAAUGGGCUUGGGUAAUACUUUGAAGGGAGAAGUUUUAUUUGUGUCUCAUAUAAGUGACGCUAGUUGUACGAGGCUCUUUUUUGCCUCAUAAAUUUAUGAACUCCAAUCUUACAUUUUUUCAUUCAUAAAAAUCUAGGUCCACAAAACUGUGAGACAAAAAAGCCAUCUCGUACAACUAAUAUCACUUGUAUGAGACACAAAAUAAAAUUUUUCGUUCAAAGGAGAUAUUUGGUCCAUUUGUCCCAUGUGGUAUGCGAAAGAAGAUUGACUAAGCUUAUUCUUCUUCAUCUGUAGCUGUAGUAGGUUAGUUGCGUUUUUAAAGAUCUUGUUAGAUAUUUGUAACUUUUCCUGUGAUGUUUGAAACUUCUCUUCUAUGAUGUUUGAAAAAAUUGAAUUCUCCUUAUGCAUUGUGAUACAAUUGAUGCAUUCUAUAGUAGCGGGUGUUGAUUAUCGUGAUUAAUGGAUGGCAUGCCCUAAUUGUCAUACCUGGCAUUUAAAGGGUAAAGAGAUGAUUCUAAUGAAGGUUUUUAUAUAUGUUACGUAUAAUAAGUUUGUUGUUAAGCUCAUUACCGAUUCUGACUUACCUUGUGAUUGGAUUGAUGUUUUCAUAACUUACAUCCAGAAGAUGGUAGCACCCUUUAAAAUAAAUAAUAAUAAUCUUUUAAUUUAUAUUUGAAGGUAGAAAAUAGACCAGUUUUAAGGGUAUCUAUGAUUGAACGAUAAAUAGAACUUUUGAAUUUUCCUCCAAUUGAACAACAUUAUAGUCAUGGGUUGGAUGGCAUUGAAGAAUAUUUUUUAAAUGUAGAUAUUUCAGAAAUGGAAUCUUUGAAUAUGAUUAUUCCAGCAAAACAACAACAACAACAACAUAAUCAGUUUCACAUAUGAAGUAUGAGGAAGAUAAAAUAUACACAAAUUUUAUCGCACUUAGUAUGGUACACACACUAUUUCUGAUAGACCAUCGGUUUAAUUAAGAAAAUGUGAAAAGGAAGAAAAAGGAAAAAGAAAGAAAGCGGAAGACAAAGACAAAAAGGAUAAGGGGAGAAAAAGAGAAGUCAAAAGGGAAAAAGUAGCAUCAAAUAAUAACCACAGAAAAAUAAGAUAAACAAAGCGAAUGAAACAACAUGCAAAUAGUAGAGAUCGAAGAACAUGAAACUACAAGAGUGUUACUAAUACUACUGGAAAUGAAAGGGGAACUCACGAUUACGUAUUAGCCGUCUACCCUAAUUCAUAUCAUUCAGACCUUCCUAUCACGGUUCAUGUCCUCAAUAAACUGACGUAGUGCCAUGUCCUGCCUAAUCACCUCUUCCCUAUACUUAUGUGGCCUACCUUUACCUCUUCUCAAAUCCGCCAUGACUAACCUCUCACUCCUCCUAAUGAUAGCGUAUGUGCUUCUCUUCACGUGCCUAAACUAUCUCAGCCUCGACUCCCGCAUCUUGUCCCACAUGGGGCCACUCCCAAUUCGUCUUGAAAAACUUUAUUUCUAAUCUUUACUUUCUUUGUAUGCCCACACAUCCAUCUCAACAUCCUCAUUUCUUUUAUUCUUACCUUUUGAAUAUUGGAGUUCUUGACUGGACAACACUCAGCCCCAUGCAAUAUAGUAGGUCUAACCACCGCUAUAUAUAAUUUACCCUUAAGUCUUAAUGGCACAUCAUUACCACAUAAAAUACCAGAUGCAAGAAUUCAUUUCAUACACCCUCACCAAUAUGACGUGAGACCUCCCUAUCAAUCUCCAUGUUACCUUGAGUUAUAGACCUGUGAUGAAACUACUUCUCUUGGGGAUGAGUUGAGUAUCAAGCUUCAUAUCUACGUUCGUUUCAUGAGUUUCAUCACCGAACUUACACUCUAAGUAUUCUAUUUUGGUUCUCCUAAACUUGAAACUUUUAAACUCUAGGGUUUGUCUCCAAAUAUUCAGCCUCGCAUUAACACCACCUCGGGUCUUGUGAAUCAUCACUAUGUCAUCGGCAAAAAACAUGCACUAUGGUACCUCCCAUUGAGUGUGUGGCGCGCAUCAUCACAUCCAUUGCCAAGGCAAGAAAAACGGGAUAAGAGUAGAUCCUUGGUGCAACUACAUCACACCUAGAAAGUGUUUCGAGUAACCUCCCAUAUUCCUCACCUGAGUCUUAGCACUAUCAUAUAUGUCCUUAAUCACUCCAGUGUAUGUUACCAAAAAGCCACUAACUUCUAAAUAUUUCUACAGAACCUCCUUUGGGACUUUAUUGUACGCCUUUUCUAGGUAUAUAAACACCAUAUGUAAAUUCUUCUUCCUCCCUCUAUACUGCUCUACCAAUCUCAUCAGCAGAUAAAUGAAUUACGUAGUUGAUCGCUUCAGCAUGAAUCCAAACUGGUUCUAAAAAAUACGCCCUCAUCCUCACUCUGACUUCCACUACCCUCUCUCAAAAUUUUAUAGUUAUGACUCAACAACUUGAUAUCCCUAUAGCUAUUGCAGCUUGGGAUAUCACCCUUAGUAUCGCUGUUGUCUUUUUUAUAGCUUUUGUUGUUGCCGAAACUAUGUGGUAUGGUUCGGCAAUAACCCCGAUUGAAUUAUUUGGGCACACUUGUUACCAAUUGGAUCAGGGGUACUUCCAGCAAGAAAUAUAUCGAAGAGUUAGUGCUGGGCUAGUAGAAAAUCAAAGUUUAUCAGAAGCCUGGUCUAAAAUUCCUGAAAAAUUAGCUUUUUAUGAUUACAUCGGCAAUAAUCCGGCAAAAGGGGAAUUAUUCAGAGCGGGCUCAAUGGAUAACGGGGAUGGAAUAGCGGUUGGAUGGUUAGGACACCCUAUCUUUAGAGAUAAAGAAGACCGUGAACUUUUUGUACGUUGUAUGCCUACUUUUUUUGAAACAUUUCCGGUCGUUUUGGUAGAUGGCGAUGGGAUUGUUAGAGCCGAUGUUCCUUUUAGAAGGGCAGAAUCGAAGUAUAGUGUUGAACAAGUAGGUGUAACUGUUGAGUUCUACGGCGGUGAACUCAACGGNNN
rnacentral:lncRNA from 1 species